GGGGACAACAGUUGGAAACGACUGCUAAUACCGCAUGAUGUCUACGGACCAAAGUGGGGGACCUUCGGGCCUCACGCCAAAAGAUUAGCCCAAGUGGGAUUAGCUAGUUGGUAAGGUAAUGGCUUACCAAGGCAACGAUCCCUAGCUGGUUUGAGAGGAUGAUCAGCCACACUGGGACUGAGACACGGCCCAGACUCUACGGGAGGCAGCAGUGGGGAAUAUUGCACAAUGGGCGCAAGCCUGAUGCAGCCAUGCCGCGUGUGUGAAGAAGGCUUCGGGUUGUAAAGCACUUUCAGUAAGGAGGAAAGGUUAAGUUUUAAUAGAGCUUAGCUGUGACGUUACUUACAGAAGAAGCACCGGCUAACUCCGUGCCAGCAGCCGCGGUAAUACGGAGGGUGCGAGCGUUAAUCGGAAUUACUGGGCGUAAAGCGUACGCAGGCGGUUUGUUAAGCGAGAUGUGAAAGCCCCGGGCUCAACCUGGGAACUGCAUUUCGAACUGGCAAACUAGAGUGUGAUAGAGGGUGGUAGAAUUUCAGGUGUAGCGGUGAAAUGCGUAGAGAUCUGAAGGAAUACCGAUGGCGAAGGCAGCCACCUGGGUCAASACUGACGCUCAUGUACGAAA
rnacentral:rRNA from 1 species